rnacentral:lncRNA from 1 species
CUUCAAUGCAACGAGAAAUUCUCGCACCGGAGGUGUCCUUCAGCUGGCCUCUAAACAAAUAUAUACUGGUUCAGUGAUAAUGAAAACCAUACUAAACUCUACAUUGUACACAAUUAUCCAUAGUAUAAGCAGAACCUUCUGAAAUUUGUAUAUUAAAACUGUAUGUUUCUUCCUUGUUAAGGUGUAUAGGCAGUCAAGACUCCAGAAAACUGUUAACGCAUUCUUGUACAUCUUUUAUUCCUAUCUAGCCUAAAAAAUUGCUAGCCUGGCCUACUGUAACCAUAUAGAACUCCUAAAUUGUAAAAUUUCCUCACACAUAAUAAUGUCGCUUCAAUUAAAUCCUAUACUCUGACUGUUGUCCGUAUUCUAGGACGCGGUCUUGAGGGAGACGAUGAUUUUAAUAAAAGUUCGUCCAUUUCAGGAAGCAACUUUAAUCCGGGAAUGUUGAACACUGAAGAUGC